rnacentral:rRNA from 1 species
AAUAACGAUACGGGACUCUAUUGAGGCCCCGUAAUCGGAAUGAGUACACUUUAAAUCCUUUAACAAGGAUCCAUUGGAGGGCAAGUCUGGUGCCAGCAGCCGCGGUAAUUCCAGCUCCAAUAGCGUAUAUUAAAGUUGUUGCGGUUAAAAAGCUCGUAGUUGGUUCUGCGUGCCGCGCUGUCGGUUCGCCGCCUGUCGGUGUAACUGGCAUGUCGCGGCAUGUCCUGUCGGUGGUGAACGGGAUCCCCGGUGCUACCUAGCCUGCAUAGGCGAAGUUUGUGCCGCGUGUGAUACCGUUUACCGAUUUCUCCUACUUCGGUGCUCUUAAACGAGUGUCGAGGUAGGCCGACACGUUCACUUUGAACAAAUUAGAGUGCUUAAAGCAGGCUGAAAUAUCUGCCUGAAUAGUGGUGCAUGGAAUGAUAAAACAGGACCUCGGUUCUAUUUUGUUGGUUUUAGGAAUAUGAGGUAAUGAUCAAUGUGGACUGGCGGGGGCAUUCGUAUUGCGACGUUAGAGGUGAAAUUCUUGGAUCGUCGCAAGACGCACUAAAGCGAAAGCAUUUGCCAAGUAUGUCUUAAUUGAUCAAGAACGAAAGUUAGAGGUUCGAAGGCGAUCAGAUACCGCCCUAGUUCUAACCAUAAACGAUGCCAGCCAGCGAUCCGCCGAUGUUCCUUUAAUGACUCGGCGGGGAGCUUCUACCCGGGAAACCAAAGCUUUUGGGUUCCGGGGGAAGUAUGGUUGCAAAGCUGAAACUUAAAGGAAUUGACGGAAGG